GCUCUUGUAGCUCAGAUGGUUAGUGCUCCCGUUUAGUAAGCGGAGGUUUUUAGUUUAACUCUUGACAAGAGCA
rnacentral:tRNA from 1 species